GCUUACCAUGCAGUCGAGGGGCAGCAUUUUAGUUUGCUUGCAAACUGAAGAUGGCGACCGGCGCACGGGUGAGUAACACGUAUCCAACCUGCCGAUAACUCCGGAAUAGCCUUUCGAAAGAAAGAUUAAUACCGGAUAGUAUACGAAUAUCGCAUGAUAUUUUUAUUAAAGAAUUUCGGUUAUCGAUGGGGAUGCGUUCCAUUAGUUUGUUGGCGGGGUAACGGCCCACCAAGACUACGAUGGAUAGGGGUUCUGAGAGGAAGGUCCCCCACAUUGGAACUGAGACACGGUCCAAACUCCUACGGGAGGCAGCAGUGAGGAAUAUUGGUCAAUGGGCGAGAGCCUGAACCAGCCAAGUAGCGUGAAGGAUGAAGGCUCUAUGGGUCGUAAACUUCUUUUAUAUGGGAAUAAAGUUUUCCACGUGUGGAAUUUUGUAUGUACCAUAUGAAUAAGGAUCGGCUAACUCCGUGCCAGCAGCCGCGGUAAUACGGAGGAUCCGAGCGUUAUCCGGAUUUAUUGGGUUUAAAGGGAGCGUAGGUGGAUUGUUAAGUCAGUUGUGAAAGUUUGCGGCUCAACCGUAAAAUUGCAGUUGAAACUGGCAGUCUUGAGUACAGUAGAGGUGGGCGGAAUUCGUGGUGUAGCGGUGAAAUGCUUAGAUAUCACGAAGAACUCCGAUUGCGAAGGCAGCUCACUAGACUGUCACUGACACUGAUGCUCGAAAGUGUGGGUAUCAAACAGGAUUAGAUACCCUGGUAGUCCACACAGUAAACGAUGAAUACUCGCUGUUUGCGAUAUACAGUAAGCGGCCAAGCGAAAGCAUUAAGUAUUCCACCUGGGGAGUACGCCGGCAACGGUGAAACUCAAAGGAAUUGACGG
rnacentral:rRNA from 1 species